UACGGAGGGUGCAAGCGUUGUCCGGAUUUAUUGGGUUUAAAGGGUGCGUAGGCGGCCCGUUAAGUCAGUGGUGAAAGCCUCCAGCUCAACUGGAGAACUGCCAUUGAUACUGACGGGCUUGAGUACAGACGAGGUUGGCGGAAUUGAUUGUGUAGCGGUGAAAUGCAUAGAUACAAUCAAGAACUCCGAUUGCGUAGGCAGCUAACUAGGCUGUAACUGACGUUGAGGCACGAAAGCGUGGGGAGCGAACAGG
rnacentral:rRNA from 1 species